AACUAUCUAUUAUUAAUAUAAAUAAUAUCUUUGCUUGUCCAUAAAUUAUGUAAGAGAAAAUUUUAGAAAGUGAGAUUUGGUAUGCAUAUAUAUUAGCCAAGUAGCUUCUUAAAGAGCUAUUACAUGUUCAAAUCCAAUGAAAUAUAGAAUUUUAGCAAUUAAUUGAAUGGAAACGAAGUUACAACUUUUACAUACUAUUAUGAGU
rnacentral:lncRNA from 1 species